GAUGAACGCUAGCGGCAGGCCUAACACAUGCAAGUCGAGGGGUAGAACACUUCGGUGUUUGAGACCGGCGCACGGGUGCGUAACGCGUAUGCAAUCUACCUUGUACAGAGGGAUAGCCCAGAGAAAUUUGGAUUAAUACCUCAUAGUGUUAUCGAAUGGCAUCGUUUGAUAACUAAAGUUCCAACGGUACAAGAUGAGCAUGCGUCCCAUUAGUUAGUUGGUAAGGUAACGGCUUACCAAGACAAUGAUGGGUAGGGGUCCUGAGAGGGAGAUCCCCCACACUGGUACUGAGACACGGACCAGACUCCUACGGGAGGCAGCAGUGAGGAAUAUUGGACAAUGGGCGCAAGCCUGAUCCAGCCAUGCCGCGUGCAGGAUGACUGCCCUAUGGGUUGUAAACUGCUUUUAUACAGGAAGAAACACUGCUACGAGUAGCAGCUUGACGGUACUGUAGGAAUAAGGAUCGGCUAACUCCGUGCCAG
rnacentral:rRNA from 1 species